rnacentral:lncRNA from 1 species
AUGCCUCUCCAACAAACUCUGCGCCACCGGCAUUGUUGGCGAUCGAAUAUCCAAGAUUACAACUUUAUUACUGUAGCGGAAUUGUACGAUCCAUCCCACAUCUAUUCAUCACCUUAGCAGUGCACACCUGUGUAGACGAGCCCAAUAAAUAUGUUGGACCACCUCCUUACCUAAAAGGUUAACCUAUUAGGUUGAUGUUCUACCAUACUUAUUAAGCCAUCUACACUCUUGAAUUUAACCGAUGUGGGAUUCAUGUGAAAUCCCAACAAUCUCCACCUUUCACUUGAAUACCCAUCACAUUGAAUCCUUCAAGAGCUCUCUGCUCGACUCUAAUACUACUCCCAGCAGUUUUUCGAUUCAAAUACUUUUUGCAGUUUUUCGAUUCAAAUACUUUUUGAGUCCUUCAAGAGGAGCCUUGCUUGAAGCUAAUAUUACUCCACCACGUCCUGGGUGUCUCAGCAAUUUCCCUAGAGCCUUCCUCCUAAGCCCGCUCCACCCGACUCAAAUCAUCUUGUGCUCCCGUGCUCCACCUGAAUACUUGGACUCCCACCGAACCAUGGGCUUUGAUACCACUUGUAGCGGAAUUCCUGUGUAGACGAGCCCAAUAAAUAUGUUGGACCACCUCCUUACCUAAAAG